UACAGAGGCCUCAAGCAUUAUCCGGAAUCACUGGGCGUAAAGGGUGUGUAGGCGGUCGUGUUAGUCUCUCGUGAAAGAUUUUGGGCUUAACCCAGAAGACGCGGGGGAAACGGCACGGCUUCGAGGACGCGAGAGGUAGAGGGAACUCAUGGUGUAGGGGUGAAAUCCGUUGAUAUCAUGGGGAACACCAAAUGCGAAGGCACUCUACUGGCGCGCUCCUGACGCUGAAACACGAAAGCGUGGGAAUCGAACGGG
rnacentral:rRNA from 1 species